GAUGAACGCUGGCGGCGCGCCUAACACAUGCAAGUCGAACGAUUAAAGCACCUUCGGGUGUGUAUAAAGUGGCGAACGGCUGAGUAACACGUGGGCAACCUGCCCCUCUCAUUGGGAUAGCCACGGGAAACCGUGGAUAAUACCGAAUACUUCGGGACUUCCGCAUGGAAGACUCGAGAAAGCUCCGGCGGAGAGGGAUGGGCCCGCGGCCUGUUAGCUUGUUGGUGGGGUAAUGGCCUACCAAGGCAAUGAUGGGUAGCUGGGUUGAGAGACCGACCAGCCAGAUUGGGACUGAGACACGGCCCAGACUCCUACGGGAGGCAGCAGUGGGGAAUCUUGCACAAUGGGCGAAAGCCUGAUGCAGCGACGCCGCGUGCGGGAGGAAGGCCUUCGGGUUGUAAACCGCUUUCAGCAGGGACGAGGCGAAAGUGACGGUACCUGCAGAAGAAGCCCCGGCUAACUACGU
rnacentral:rRNA from 1 species